GCAUGGUGUUCCCAGUGUGCAACAUAACCGCUUUUAUGCUGUAAAGGGAUGCAUCUAAGAAUAACAUCUACUCAUUUGGUUCAUAGGUCAGCUCAAAGGCAUUGAAUAGGUCUCUGAUAUCAUUACAAUAAGUCAAUUUGUUUUCCAAAGUGAAGAAUUGCAACUUGAACAU